GAGGACAUAGCUUAGUGGCAGAGCACUUGCCUAGCAUGCAUGAGAGCCUGUGUUCUAUCCUCA
rnacentral:tRNA from 1 species